rnacentral:rRNA from 1 species
UCGGUUGAUCCUGCCGGACCUAAUUGCUAUCGGAUUGAUACUAAGCCAUGCGAGUCAUUGUAGCAAUACAAGGCAGACGGCUCAGUAACGCGUAGUCAACCUACCCUAUGGACGGGAAUAACCUCGGGAAACUGAGUAUAAUGCCCGAUAGAACACUAUACCUGGAAUGGUUUGUGUUCCAAAUGAUUUAUCGCCGUAGGAUGGGACUGCGGCCUAUCAGUUUGUUGGUGAGGUAAUGGCCCACCAAGACUAUUACAGGUACGGGCUCUGAGAGGAGUAGCCCGGAGAUGGGUACUGAGACACGGACCCAGGCCCUAUGGGGCGCAGCAGGCGAGAAAACUUUGUAAUGUGCGAAAGCACGACAAGGUUAAUCCGAGUGAUUUGUGUUAAACGAAUCUUUUGUUAGUUUUAGAAACACUAACGAAUAAGGGGUGGGCAAGUUCUGGUGUCAGCCGCCGCGGUAAAACCAGCACCUCAAGUGGUCAGGAUGAUUAUUGGGCCUAAAGCAUCCGUAGCCGGCUCUGUAAGUUUUCGGUAAAUCAACCAGCUCAACUGGUUGAAUUCUGCGAGGACGGUCAGACUUGGGACCGGGAGAGGUGUGGGGUACGCUCAGGGUAGGGGUAAAAUCCUGUCAUCCUGAGCGGACCACCUGUUGCGAAGGCGCCACACUAGAUCGGAUCCGACGGUCAGGGACGAAGCCUAGGGGCACGAACCGGAUUAGAUACCCGGGUAGUCCUAGGUGUAAACGCUGUGGACUUGAUGUUGGGGGCGCUCCGAGCGCUUCCAGUGUCGAAGCGAAGGUGAUAAGUCCACUGCCUGGGAAGUACGGUCGCAAGGCUGAAACUUAAAGGAAUUGGCGGGGGAGCACCGCAACCUGAGGAUUGUGCGGUUUAAUUGGAUUCAACGCCGGAAAACUCACCAUAGCCGACGGACAAAUGAAGAUCAGUGUAAUGAGCUUAUCGGAUUGUUCGAGAGGUAGUGCAUGGCCGCCGUCAGUUCGUACCGCAAGGCGUUCUGUUAAGUCAGAUAACGAACGAGACCCUCAUCCCUAUUUGCUAAGAUCUCUCCGGAGAUCACAGGACUAUAGGGAGACCGCUGGCGCGAAGUCAGAGGAAGGCGAGGGCAACGGUAGGUCAGUAUGCUCCGAAUGCUAUGGGCUACACGCGCAAUACAAAGGACAGGACAAUGGGCUGCUGCGCCGAAAGGCAUGAUAGCUAUCCCGAAACCUGUUCGUAGUUCGGAUUGAGGGCUGUAACUCGCCCUCAUGAAGCUGGAUUAGGUAGUAAUCGCGUCUCAAAAAGGCGCGGUGAAUAUGCCCCUGCUCCUUGCACACACCGCCCGUC